UGCCUUUGCGAGAGCGGAGUUGGGUUCUCCUCAGCACAGACGCGGAGAGCAUCGCGAGGGCGGAGCUGCGUUCUCAUCUGCACAGAUUUCAGUGGUACUGCGAAGGCGGAGCAGAGUUCUCCUCAGAUGAUGAUUAUUCCCCACCUUCUAAGAGACAAAGACCAACGAGCCGCCACAGCCACCAGUCCCAGAACCCGCCAAUGCUGGGGAACGGAAAAUGAGGGAGUUCAACUCUGGCCCUCACAAUCCAGUGGAGGAGACGCAACUCAUCUGCCUCUGUCCCUCUGGGCACGCCUCGUGCCAGGUGCAUCUGUGGACAGGGGCCAUGCUCCUGGGCUUCCAAAGUUGGAGAAAGCUGCCAGGCUCAGGUCUGAAGGCCAGAAUUCUACAGUAAGUCCUACUGAGUCAAGGUGGGAGCAGGGUCGGUAGCUUCCGAGGCUCUGCGGGAGAAUCUGUUUCCUGGCCGUAGAGGUGGCCUGCACUCCUCAGCCUGUGCUGCCCGUCUCGAAUGACUGGAGUUUCCUGCUUCUGUCACUACACCUCCCACCCUCUCCAUCACCUGCUCUGCUCUUACAAGGAUCCGAAGAAAUGGAAUCAUCGUAUCGCUGAUCUACGUAAACAAACUGAAGAAUUGUCUGAAAGAAAAUAUGACAUGAACUUAUGAAUUCAAUAGGUGAAGAUUUACAACUUGAUAAAUCAACUUUGUCAGCUCGAGCUGUAAAAGCCAAAGGUCCGGUGAUGAUCCCAUACCCUUUUUUCCAGUCUCAUGUUGAAGAUUUUUAUGUAGAAGGCCUUCCCAAAGGAAUUUUUUUUUUUUUUUUUUUUUUGAGAUGGAGUUUUCACUCUUAUCGCCCAGGCUGGGGUGCAAUGGCACAACCUUGCUGGUCACUGCAACCUCUGCCUCCUGGGUUCAAGAAAUUCUCCUGCCUUAGCCUCCCAAGUCACUGGGAUUACAGGUGCCCACCACCACACCAGGCUAAUUUUUGUAUUUUUAGUGGAGAUGCGGUUUCACCAUGUUGGCCGGGCCAGUCUCGAACUCCUGACGUCAAGUGAUCUUCCCGCCUCGACUCCUGAUAUCAAGUGAUCUUCCCGCCUCGGCCUCCCAGAGUGCUGAGAUUACAGACGUGAACCCAUGCCUGGCCAGGAAUUUUGUUUUUUAGGAAGGCUUUCUACUAAUGGAAUUCCUGGCCUUGAGAGGAUGUUACUUUAGAAGGAAAGGAUUUUUUUGUUAUUAAAAGAGCCACCUAAGCUGAAGAUUCCCUUGAGAACAAGUACUGUCCCUAGUUUCCCAGUGCUGGAAUAUAGAAAAUGGAUGGACAACUGGACCUACCAUGAAAGACUUCUGAAUCCAGGAAGAGAAACUGACUGGGCAACAUGUUAUUCAGAGACAGGGCCUCGCUCUGUUGUCCAAGCUGGUGUGCAGUG
rnacentral:lncRNA from 1 species